rnacentral:rRNA from 1 species
UACGUAGGGGGCAAGCGUUGUCCGGAAUCAUUGGGCGUAAAGAGCGUGUCGGCGGCCAGAUAAGUCCGCUGUGAAAUCUCGAGGCUCAACUUCGAGCUGUCGGUGGAAACUGUCUGGCUAGAGUCCGGAAGAGGAGAAUGGAAUUCCUGGUGUAGCGGUGAAAUGCGCAGAUAUCAGGAAGAACACCCGUGGCGAAGGCGGUUCUCUGGGACGGUACUGACGCUGAGACGCGAAAGCGUGGGGAGCGAACAGG